AGGCCAAAUCCUACCCACUCCAGAAUCCGGAAAGCUGAGAUUCCUGACAAACAAUUCUGGGAGAGGCUGCCAAUUCGGGUUUUCAGGAAAACAUUGACUGAAGACUUUGACAAGGCCCUUCAAUACGAAAAACAAGCUGAAAUGUUUUCGAGCCCAGAAGAAGUGUUAACCAAACGGAGCCACAUCACCCCUGAACGUUAUAGAAACGAUGAGGAAGAUGUGUUUGAUGCUGACGAUGAAGAGGAAAUUCGGCCAAAAAAGAAGUGCAGAAAAGAGAAAACACAGAUCUUCGUCCAGGCACCCCCACUGCCAGAGCUCCCAACCUUUAACUUUCCAAUCUCCAGCGAGUACCAGACCACUUCAGCCAGUACCAGCCAAUACCAGACCACUCCAAGGCAUCCAGGCCGACCUCACAGCCCAGCGAGAAGCAGCACUUCCAGGCUCAGUCCAGACAGGAAUGCAUCCGGCUCAAGCCAGUACCAGACCGCUCAAGCCAGUACCAGACCGCUCAAGCCAGUACCAGACCACUCCAGCCAGUACGAGUCAGUACCAGACCGCAGGAAUGCCCUUGA